GAUGAACGCUGGCGGUAUGCUUAACACAUGCAAGUCGAACGGACUCUUCGGAGUUAGUGGCGGACGGGUGAGUAACGCGUGAGAAUCUGGCUUUGGGUUCGGGACAACCACUGGAAACGGUGGCUAAUACCGGAUGUGCCGAGAGGUAAAAGAGAAAUUGCCUGAAGAUGAGCUCGCGUCUGAUUAGCUAGUUGGUGAGGUAAAGGCUCACCAAGGCAGCGAUCAGUAGCUGGUCUGAGAGGAUGACCAGCCACACUGGGACUGAGACACGGCCCAGACUCCUACGGGAGGCAGCAGUGGGGAAUUUUCCGCAAUGGGCGAAAGCCUGACGGAGCAGUACCGCGUGAGGGAAGAAGGCUCUUGGGUUGUAAACCUCUUUUCUUAGGGAAGAACAAAAUGACGGUACCUAAGGAAUCAACAUCGGCUAACUCCGU
rnacentral:rRNA from 1 species